GCCGGGUGCGGUGGCAUGUGCCUGUAAUCCAAGUCACUGGGAGGCUGAGGUUGGUGGAUCAAGUGCGCUGAGGAGCUCUGGGCUGCAGCACGCUAUGUCGAACGGGUGUCCACGCUAAGUUCUGUAUCGAUAUGGUGUUCCUGGGGGAGCCCGGGACCACCAGGUUGUCUAAGGAGGGGUGAACCGGCCCAGGUCGGAAACGAAGCAGGUCAAAUCCCCGUGCUGUCCAGUAGUGGGAUAAUACCUGUGAGUAGAUGCUGCAGUGCAGCCUUGGCAAAACAUUGAGACCUAAUCUUUU
rnacentral:SRP_RNA from 1 species